AAUGGUAUUGCAAACUUGUUCUCUGUAUAUCUCUUCUAGUUUCAUCAUUGACUUCCAGAGUCUGUACCUUGAAAGGUGUAGGGUAUUCAUAUGAAGCCAGAAUCUGUGCAUUGAAAUCAACAUCACUGUGUGAAGAUAGUGAAACUCAACUUUGACCAAAGACUAUGGAUACUGAAGAUACAGUCCUCAGAAGCACCUUUGUACAUCUUACACAACAAGAUAAAACUGAGCACCAUGACUC